rnacentral:SRP_RNA from 1 species
GCUGGGUGCAGUGGCAAGCGCCUGUAAUCCCAGCUACUUGGGAGGCUGAGGCAGGAGAAUUGCUUGAAUCCGGGAGGCAGAGGUUGCAGUGAGCCAAGAUCGUGCCACUGCACUCCAGCUUGGGCAACAAGAGUGAAACUUUUUUUUUUUUUUUUUUUGAGACAGAGUCUUGCUCUGUCGCCCAAGCUGGAGUGCAGUGGCCGGAUCUCAGCUCACUGCAGGCUCUGACUCCCGGGUUUAUGCCAUUCUCCUGCCUCAG